CAGAGUUUGAUCCUGCUCAGGAUGAACGCUAGCUACAGGCUUAACACAUGCAAGUCGAGGGGCAUCAGUUUGGUUUGCUUGCAAACCAAAGCUGGCGACCGGCGCACGGGUGAGUAACACGUAUCCAACCUGCCUCAUACUCGGGGAUAGCCUUUCGAAAGAAAGAUUAAUAUCCGAUAGCAUAUAUUUCCCGCAUGGGUUUUAUAUUAAGAAAUUCGGUAUGAGAUGGGGAUGCGUUCCAUUAGUUUGUUGGCGGGGUAACGGCCCACCAAGACUACGAUGGGAUAGGGGUUCUGGAGAGGAAGGUCCCCCACAUUCGGAACUGAGACACGGUCCAAACUCCUCGGGAGGCA
rnacentral:rRNA from 1 species